rnacentral:rRNA from 1 species
UGGGGAAUUUUCCGCAAUGGGCGAAAGCCUGACGGAGCAAGACCGCGUGGGGGAAGAAGGCUCUUGGGUUGUAAACCCCUUUUCUCUGGGAAGAAAGUUGUGAAAGCAACCUGACGGUACCAGAGGAAUCAGCAUCGGCUAACUCCGUGCCAGCAGCCGCGGUAAGACGGAGGAUGCAAGCGUUAUCCGGAAUGAUUGGGCGUAAAGCGUCCGCAGGUGGCAGUUCAAGUCUGCUGUCAAAGACCGGGGCUUAACUUCGGAAAGGCAGUGGAAACUGAACAGCUAGAGUAUGGUAGGGGCAGAGGGAAUUCCUGGUGUAGCGGUGAAAUGCGUAGAGAUCAGGAAGAACAUCGGUGGCGAAGGCGCUCUGCUGGACCAUAACUGACACUCAGGGACGAAAGCUAGGGGAGCGAAUGGGAUUAGAUACCCCAGUAGUCCUAGCCGUAAACGAUGGAUACUAGGUGUUGUCUGUAUCGACCCGGACA